UAUCGUUAGUUGAUCAGGUGGGAAUGUUUAGUAAGGUCCUCGUUAAAGAAGACAGUCCUCGUUUCGCGAUUGUUUUUCAACUUGCGGUAACUUUUCACCAAGCGGAAAUUUUACGUCGACACUUUGAAGCCUGGUUAUGAACUGGCGUAGACCUGCAUUACGCUUGUUCGGAUCAUCGACUUUGUGUGAGUUUAUGAUUUCGUCUGAGUGCGACUCUUCUUUCCUGUUAUGUCCAGGAUAAGUGAGGCAGUAUCCUCGUCCUGCUUUUCAGCUACUACCGUGGCGCAAACUCCGACCACACUGUUCCAUCUCGUCAAUUUGUUGGAACAGUUUAUAGUUUUCCGUUUCUAAAUGUUGAUGAAACUUCUCCUUCAAGGGUUGAAACACCAAAGUUUACUUCGAUCGACACAAGUGUCGUCGUGCAGCGACUGCUUUACAGAUGUCGCUAUUCUAAAGACGUCCUCAUCCGAUAUAACUACCUGGCGAGAAGUAAAUAUGUAUUUAGUGUUGCUUGCUGGCCAAAGGUUGGGUUUUCAUACGGUAUACUCGCGAAACGGCAUAGAUUCAUCAGCAGGAAUGAUAUGGAGUUGUACGACAACGUUAUCAUCAUUUUUAUCCAUUGUUGGACAGUGUUGUUAUCACCCAUGAUGUUAGUACAUGUUGAAGUUAGAUUAAAAUCUUUCUUCAAGUUUACAAAUAUUUUAAGUACCUCUACUGGAGAAUCGAAGGACCUGUAUCUGUCAGCAUCGUUUCAUCUCCUGAGCCCCACGAUAAAAAUGAAUAAAUGUAUGGACAAGACAAAGAAAUUGUGUUUUCAUGGAUACCCGGUUCAUCGAAGGACCCCGGAGGGCCCCCGCGGAGUCUAAAGGUUUCCGGAACCCCUGCCAUCUGGAGUCUAAAUGUUUCCGGAUCCCUGAUAUCCGGUGUUCGAAGGACACUGAGUUGAAACAGCCCUAUAAGACAUGGAGCGGUGGGAGAAAGGCCAGGAAAUAAGUAUUAUAUUACCAAUAUAGAUACAAAAUAUAGACUUUAAACUGUUCAUUAACUUCUUUAAUAUUUGUCUCAUGUAUUUUUUUUUAACCAAAUUUCAAAUCUUAUUAAUUGUAUACAUUUGUACGGUCUUUUUAAAAGUAGAUAAAUGAUAACAAAACUG